rnacentral:lncRNA from 1 species
GUCUGAACAAAAUGGCGUGUUAGAAAGAAAGAACAGAAUAGUAAUGGAGACAGCUAGAGCUAUGCUAAUGGAGAAAGGUCUUCCAAAAAACCUUUUGGACAGAAAUAGUAAGCACUGUAGUCUACCUACUAAAUCGAUGUUUGACUAAAGUUGUACAAGACAAAACGUAAGUGGAAGCUUGAAGUGGAUGAAAACCAUCAGCAAAGUACCUCAGAGUUUUUGGCUGCAUCUGCUAUACACAUAUUCCAUAGGAGAAAAGAGGUAAGCUAUAUGAAAAAACAGAAAAAAGAAUCUUUUAGGUUAUAUUACUCAAUCAAAAUGCUAUCGAAUAUAUAACUUAAGAAAAAAGAAACUAAUUAUAAGUCGAGAUGUUAAGUUUGAUGAAGAUGCCAUCUACAACUUAGAGACUGGUUAAGCUGAAAAAAGCUAUCAGCAUCCUAACACAACCAGAAAAACAAGAGGGUGACGUUGAAGAGAAAACUCAACCAUAGACCCCACAACAAGCAACUAUAGAAGAACCAGUUGACUCACCAGCAUUGUCACCAAGAAAAACACGAAGAUUAUCGAAAAUAUAUCAAAGCUGUCCUUGACGAUUGUUGAACUUAAAAGCUAUGAAACAACGUCAGAAAAGCUAGAAUAGAGAAAAGCUAUGGAUGAAAAAAUAAAAAUGAUCGAGAAAAACAACACUUGGGAGCUUGUAGAUCUUCCUCAAGAUAAAGAAGUCUUAGGAGUUAAGUGGAUCUACAAGAUGAAACUUGAAGAGAAAAAUCAACCAUAGACCCCACAACAAGCAACUAUAGAAGAACCAGUUGACUCACCAGCAUUGUCACCAAGAAAAACAUGAAGAUUAUCGAAAAUAUAUCAAAGCUGCCCUUGACGAUUGUUGAACCUAAAAGCUAUGAAACAACGUCAGAAAAGCUAGAAUAGAGAAAAGCUAUGGAUGAAAAAAUAAAAAUGAUCGAGAAAAACAACACUUGGGAGCUUGUAGAUCUUCCUCAAGAUAAAGAAGUCUUAGGAGUUAAGUGGAUCUACAAGAUGAAGCUUAAUGCUGAUGGCUCAAUCCAAAACAUAAAGCAAGAUUAGUCGCCAAAAGAUACAACAGUUUGGCAUCAACUACAUUGAGACAUUUGUUCCAGUUGCACAUCUUGACACUAUGAUGGAGUUGAUUGCACUAGUUGCACAGAAAAACUGGAAGAUUUACCAGCUAGACGUUAAAUCAGCAUUUUUUAAUGGCUAUCUUGAAGAAGAAAUUUAUAUAGAGCAACCUCAAGGGUACGCGGUACAAGGUAAAGAAGAUAAAGUUCUCAAACUAAGGAAGGUACUAUAUAGAUUAAAGCAAGCUCCGCGAGAUUGGUACAACAGAAUAGACAACUACUUCACUGGGCAAGGAUUUAGGAAGAGCCAAAGUGAACCAACUCUAUACAUAAAAAAUCAAGGUACAAGAAGUACACUUAUAAUCUCUUUAUAUGUUGAUGAUCUCAUCUAUACGAGGAACGAUGAGAAGAUGAUUGAGAAAUUCAAGGCAGACAUGAUGAAAACGUUCGAGAUGACUAAUCUGGGAUUAAUGCACCAUUUUCUUAGGAUUGAGAUAGCUCAAUCAGAAGAUGGGAUCUUCAUUGCUCAGAAGAAGUAUACCACUACUCUAUUAAAGAAAUUCAAGAUAGAAGGUUGCAAAACAGUAGCAACACCCUUGGAUAGCAACAAAUCUUUUAGAAAAGAAGACGGUACUCUAAAAUCAGACAAUUCACAAUUUCGAAGCUUAAUUGGAAAUUUACUCUAUCUCAUAGUUACAAGGCCAGACAUAAUGUAUGCAACCAGCCUACUUUCAAGAUUUAUGCAAAAUCUAAGUCAAGUUCACUAUGGAGCUGUAAAAUGGAUACUAAGAUAUCUCCAAUGAACAAAAGAUUAUGCAAUAAGGUAUCAGUCUAUGCCUGACUUAAGACUUCUUGGGUAUACUGAUAGCGAUUGGGCAAGAUCAGUAAAUGAUAUGAAGAGCACAUCAGGUUAUGCAUUCACACUAAAUUCUAGAAUAUUCUCUUAGGCAUCAGAGAAGCAGGCAACAGUUGCACAAUCAUUAGCUGAAGAAGAGUAUAUUGCAGCAGCAAUGGCAAGGAGUCAAGCUAUAUGGCUAAGACGCAUACUUGAAGACAUGGGAGAACCACAAG